rnacentral:rRNA from 1 species
AUUGAACGCUGGCGGCAGGCUUAACACAUGCAAGUCGAGCGGGGGAGGUUGCUUCGGUAACUGACCUAGCGGCGGACGGGUGAGUAAUGCUUAGGAAUCUGCCUAUUAGUGGGGGACAACAUUCCGAAAGGGAUGCUAAUACCGCAUACGCCCUACGGGGGAAAGCAGGGGAUCUUCGGACCUUGCGCUAAUAGAUGAGCCUAAGUCGGAUUAGCUAGUUGGUGGGGUAAAGGCCUACCAAGGCGACGAUCUGUAGCGGGUCUGAGAGGAUGAUCCGCCACACUGGGACUGAGACACGGCCCAGACUCCUACGGGAGGCAGCAGUGGGGAAUAUUGGACAAUGGGCGCAAGCCUGAUCCAGCCAUGCCGCGUGUGUGAAGAAGGCCUUAUGGUUGUAAAGCACUUUAAGCGAGGAGGAGGCUACUUUAGAUAAUACCUAGAGAUAGUGGACGUUACUCGCAGAAUAAGCACCGGCUAACUCUGUGCCAGCAGCCGCCGUAACAC